GUAUUCUCGUUGCACUUUUUUUGUUGUUGUUAUCCACAAGAAACCGUUUGACCAUUUACAAUAUGAAAAACAAUUUCCAGGGUCAUGAGGAAGAAAAUAAAAUGGAAAGUAAAAUAAGUAAUAAUAAUUAAAAAAUCCAUCUUGUGAAUGUGAGCACAGGGUGGCAGCUGCUUCCUGCAGUGUUUUCCUGCUCAGGUCAGUCUCUCCUGGGGAAGCAAUGACAGAAACUAGGCCAGAUGGUGCAGGCGCGCGAGGCAGAGUGGGCUGCUCUCAACCUGACCAACUGCACUGCAUUCAAGGCUUUGAUCUAAAAUUGGUCUCUGUAGAAGACUUGUGUACAGUAAUUUUCAUAUGGGCUUUGAACAUAUUGAAAAGGCUCAUAGCUGCCGUCACUUUUAUCCUCUGAUUCCUUUUCCCUGGGAAACGACGAGCAUAUGGCAAACACCCUCACUGGAUUCUCAGACAACGGGAGGGACCGUAUUCCGAUUCCUGCAUCCUGUCAUCGGCGAAUCCCAGGGUGCUACCCGAACCCACCCUCCCUCGCAUAUGCACAAACACACCGUCUCCUCUAGACUUUGAAAUGCUCUCUGCGCUUGUCUGACAUCCUUAAAAUGGAACACAAUGCUCUAUAACGUUGCCUCGUUUUUACCUGAAUUUCCUUAACUCACCUGCUUUUGACUGUGCUUAUUUUGUCAAGUUACAACAAUUAAAACUAAUCCAAACAUUCUUAACAAACAACUGAAAUGUAAGUCAUUAUUCUCUAAAAAUCUUCUGAAAUCUCAUUUGCAUCAAUGUUCAAAUUCAAAAGUAACACUCUGGUGUUGCCCCAUGUUUUAUAUCACUGACAACUGCAUGUGCCUUUUUGGAGCUUGACAGAUGUGGUCGGAAAAUAAAAGGGCUUAAAAUAAAAUAGAAAUACAGGUUUAGAAUGAUGCGAGUGUGUAAAUAACGAAUUAUUUCUUUUAACAUGUCUGAUGUAUUUAGUUUUGCUAGACCCCUGAAUAGGGAAAAAAAGGGUGAUCCUUUUUCAUUCAUUCUACAUAUAUCCUUGAAGCUUUGUUUGUUAAUGCAGGGGAAUUAAGGCAUGGCAAUAAUGAUCAACAUGUCCUUCAACUGAUAAAUGAGCACACUUAAUUUGAGAGCCACUUGACGCCAUUGUCACCUGCGAAGGAAAGAGAACACGUAUAAAAGCCAUUCGAGCCUCGUAAAAUAACAGAUUUGACAAACUCAGCGUUUGUUGGGAGGCAGUCAAUGUAAUUUAUUAUCUUAAUUGGAGGAUCUCCUUUUUUUCUCUUGUAAUUAAUGUCAAGAAUGUCUCCUUAAUAUAGGGCAAUCACAGUAAUUGGCAUUGCUUAAAGAAGAAGAAAGAUCAAAGCUUAAUUUGCUCAAGUGAGAACACUGAAUCGUUGGACUCUUUAAAUUUAAUUGGCCAACUUUUGUUUGUGUUUAUUAUUAGUGGUGUUUGCUAAGGCAAAUAUCACUAUAGCAUAUUGUUCAGGGGUACAUUUGUUGAAGAGUAUACAGCAUCUGCACUAAUCAAUUUAAAAAAAAUCCCUAUUUGAGAGGGAGAGUUGUGCUAUUAGUUUGCUAAACAGUUUGGAGGAAUCAAAUUUGCACCCUAUACUGUAAAAAAAUAUUUUCAUGAUUUGUUAUCAUAACAUUUUUUCUUUUAUCAAAUC